GCUAGUAAUGGCAGGUCAGCAUACUGCCGUGAAUACGUUCCCGGGCCUUGUACACACCGCCCGUCACACCAUGAGAGUUGGAAAUACCCGAAGCCUGUGAGCUAACUUAAAGAGGCAGCAGUCGAAGGUAGAGCCAAUGAUUGGGGUGAAGUCGUAACAAGGUACC
rnacentral:rRNA from 1 species